CAGAGUUUUCCAAACUCCAAACCCAUGUGAACCUACCACUGUUGCCUCGGCGGCAGGUCAUCCCUCGGGGUGGCAGCCGCCGGUGGACUACUAAACUCUUGUUAAUAUUUGUCAUUCUGAAUACAAAACUUAAUAAGUUA
rnacentral:misc_RNA from 1 species